rnacentral:rRNA from 1 species
UACGUAGGGUGCGAGCGUUAAUCGGAAUUACUGGGCGUAAAGCGUGCGCAGGCGGUUUUGUAAGCCAGAUGUGAAAUCCCCGGGCUUAACCUGGGAAUGGCAUUUGGGACUGCAAGGCUCGAGUGCGGCAGAGGAGACUGGAAUUCCUGGUGUGGCAGUGAAAUGCGUAGAUAUCAGGAGGAACACCGAUGGCGAAGGCAGGUCUCUGGGCCUGCACUGACGCUCAUGCACGAAAGCGUGGGGAGCAAACAGG